UACGUAGGGGGCGAGCGUUGUCCGGAUUUACUGGGCGUAAAGAGCUCGUAGGCGGUUCGAUAAGUCGGACGUGAAAUCUCCACGCUCAACGUGGAGGGGCCGUUCGAUACUGUCGUGACUCGAGUCCGGUAGGGGAGUGUGGAAUUCCCGGUGUAGCGGUGAAAUGCGCAGAGAUCGGGAGGAACACCCGUAGCGAAGGCGGCACUCUGGGCCGGUACUGACGCUGAGGAGCGAAAGCGUGGGGAGCAAACAGG
rnacentral:rRNA from 1 species